CAACGAGCGCAACCCUUGCCUUUAGUUGCCAGCAGUUCGGCUGGGCACUCUAAAGGGACUGCCGGUGUUAAACCGGAGGAAGGUGGGGAUGACGUCAAGUCCUCAUGGCCUUUAUGACCAGGGCUACACACGUACUACAAUGGCCGAUACAAAGGGCAGCGACACUGCGAGGUGAAGCCAAUCCCGUAAAAUCGGUCUCAGUCCGGAUUGGAGUCUGCAACUCGACUCCAUGAAGUUGGAAUCGCUAGUAAUCGUGAAUCAGAAUGUCACGGUGAAUACGUUCCCGGGCCUU
rnacentral:rRNA from 1 species